GAACUACAAAAAUAAUAUAUAUAUACAUAUGCAUAUAUGUGUGUAUAUAUAUGUGUGUGUGUGUAUAUAUACACACACACAUACACUAUAUAUAUAUAUCAAUAUAU
rnacentral:miRNA from 1 species